GAAGCAUAUGCAUCAAUCCAUCACCAUCUGUUUAUUCCUGUGGUUUGAGGUCCUGUCUGAGGAGCCUAGAAAUCCCAUGCUCAUUUGGGACAGGCUCACACAGUUCCUGGCUUCAGCACUCUCCUGAAUGGAGAGGGCAAACCAAACCUGAUAGGAAAUCUGACUUCUCUAUCAUUCCAACAUUCAAAUAUCCCCAUGUUCAGUGUUUGGCCCUUUUAUGAUGUUAGCAGAGCUGAUGUCUCCUUUCUCCUUUUCUCUACGGAGGGAAGACAGGGUAUCAUUUAGAACACAAGCAAAAAAGUCUGACUCUUAUGUUGAAAUCCCAGCUCAGUAACCUAACAUCUCUUAUCUGAGCAAAUCUCACUUCUCUGAGCUUCAAUUUCCUCUUCUGUAAAAUGAGGAUAAUAGCAUUUAUUUCAUAGGAUUGUUUUGGUAAUAAAAAAAGGAUUAUCCAUGAAAAUGCUUAGUAUGAAACCUCAAUAUCUGGUUCUUAGUAAGAAUUCAAUAAACAAUGGCUGAUGCUACUGUUGCUAUUAUUACUCCUUCUUUACUGCUGCAACUAUUGACUAAUCUCAGUGCUACUAGUAUUGCUAGUGGAGAGGCUAUAGAGCAUAGUGAUGAGAAGUAUCAGCUCUGGGGUCAGUUUCUGGUUUUGCCCAUUAUUGGCUGUGUGCUCUUGGGGCAAUUUUACCUGCCUGGUAUUAAUUCCCUUCCUCCCAACUCUGCUCCUCAAAUCUGGCAUCUUCUGGACAUUGCUUUAGAAGGUACUAAGUAAUUGCUUUCACUAUCUGUUAAAAUGAUUAAGCUCUUCUCAUCAAGAUAAUUGUGGGCAAAUAAUGAAAUCCUGGUAAAUAUUUGGAUAGUAAUCAUAAAAAUGUAAAGUGGCUUUGACACACAAUGGCACCUAGAAUGUGAGGAGACACCUCCUCUGUUUGAAAGUGGAUUGGACUUCAUAGUGGCCAGGAAACUCAUCAUACCGAAGCCUUGAUUUGUGUCUUUGCCCAGACUCAGGCAUGUUGCACAAAUCCAAGAAUAUGCUAUGUUUUAAUCUGAAUUAUUUUCUUAGCCAUAUUCCUUAUUUUACUGCUAAAGCAGAUUCAAGAGAUUCUGGGAAGUAAACACUCAUCUUUCUGUGGAAGUAAAAGCAUUAACGAUUAAGUUUGGGUAGGAAUUUCUAUUCUUUUGUAACCUCUAUUGAAAAUUAACAUGGUUUUCCACUUGCAACCUAUAUCCUCUCCCCAGGAGCUGGCUUCCUAGGGAAAAGAGCUAAUAUUUUGCAGCAGCUAUUGAAAGCAAGAACCAGGCUGGUGUAAAAUGUGCGUGCUUCUGCAUUCCUGUUUCCCUUUGCACAAAAAGCAUAGCAUCAAUUGGAUGAAAUAAUAGCUACUCAGUUGGUCAUUCCCUUAUGACUGCAAGCCAUUUGGAGCUCAGUCACACUUACGAAAGACAGUAUCGACUAUAUGUAGAAAUAUCUGGAAUGAGAUGCUUUGCCCCUGACAUCUUUCAUUCAUAAUUACUGCAAAGUCUGCCUGCCUAGGCCUAGUCAAUGGUCAGUCAAUAUUCCCAUUAUAAGCUGGAGCAGGGUGAAAGGCCAAGGCAGAAAUACAAAGCAGACAUAUACUCAAUGGGGCCCACACACCCAAGCAUCAGAGUUGGCUGGAGAGGGUCCCAUGAGCCACUGAGCUCAGAAGGAUAGGCAGGUACCAUUUGAUGUCUUCUGGAAUCUGUGUUUUAUGGGGUUGGAAAUUAAGUCUCUUCACAAUGACACAACAUAGAAGAACAUCCUCCGUAAGGCAUCAUCUUUUACAUAGAAGUGGAUCAUUCUCUUGUUGAGUUGCUUGUUGCAGUUGCUUUUGCAUUGUGAUGGUGCUGAAGGUCUUGCCACAGAAGAACACAAUUUAAAUGGGCAUGAGUAACAUGGUUACACCCAACUGAUAAACAAUUUAAAUUAGAAAGCAUGAACAAGUACUUCUCUUCCCAAAAAAGAUACCUCACUCUGUGGCAUUGGGGUAAAAACCCUACUCUGUAACA
rnacentral:lncRNA from 10 species